AGUGAACGCUGGCGGUAGGCCUAACACAUGCAAGUCGAACGGCAGCACAGUAAGAGCUUGCUCUUACGGGUGGCGAGUGGCGGACGGGUGAGGAAUACAUCGGAAUCUACUUUUUCGUGGGGGAUAACGUAGGGAAACUUACGCUAAUACCGCAUACUACCUACGGGUGAAAGCAGGGGAUCUUCGGACCUUGCGCGAUUGAAUGCGCCGAUGUCGGAUUAGCUAUUUGGCGGGGUAAAGGCCCACCAAGGCGACGAUCCGUAGCUGGUCUGAGAGGAUGAUCAGCCACACUGGAACUGAGACACGGACCAGACUCCUACGGGAGGCAGCAGUGGGGAAUAUUGGACAAUGGGCGCAAGCAUGAUCCAGCCAUACCGCGUGGGUGAAGAAGGACUUCGGGUUGUAAAGCCCUUUUGUUGGGAAAGAAAAGCAGCAGGUUAAUACCCCGCUGUUCUGACGGUACCCAAAGAAUAAGCACCGGCUAACUUCGUG
rnacentral:rRNA from 1 species